UACGUAGGGGGCAAGCGUUGUCCGGAAUUAUUGGGCGUAAAGCGCGCGCAGGCGGCCUUUGUAAGUCUGUUGAUGAAGACCCACGGCUCAACCGUGGAGGGUCAUUGGAAACUGGGGGACUUGAGUGCAGAAGAGGAAAGCGGAAUUCCACGUGUAGCGGUGAAAUGCGUAGAGAUGUGGAGGAACACCAGUGGCGAAGGCGGCUUUCUGGUCUGUAACUGACGCUGAGGCGCGAAAGCGUGGGGAGCAAACAGG
rnacentral:rRNA from 1 species